rnacentral:rRNA from 1 species
AUGAACGCUGGCGGCGUGCCUAAUACAUGCCAGUCGAGCGAACGGACGAGAAGCUUGCUUUUCUGAUGUUAGCGGCGGACGGGUGAGUAACACGUGGAUAACCUACCUAUAAGACUGGGAUAACUUCGGGAAACCGGAGCUAAUACCGGAUAAUAUUUUGAACCGCAUGGUUCAAAAGUGAAAGACGGUCUUGCUGUCACUUAUAGAUGGAUCCGCGCUGCAUUAGCUAGUUGGUAAGGUAACGGCUUACCAAGGCAACGAUGCAUAGCCGACCUGAGAGGGUGAUCGGCCACACUGGAACUGAGACACGGUCCAGACUCCUACGGGAGGCAGCAGUAGGGAAUCUUCCGCAAUGGGCGAAAGCCUGACGGAGCAACGCCGCGUGAGUGAUGAAGGUCUUCGGAUCGUAAAACUCUGUUAUUAGGGAAGAACAAAUGUGUAAGUAACUAUGCACGUCUUGACGGUACCUAAUCAGAAAGCCACGGCUAACUACGUG